rnacentral:rRNA from 1 species
GACGAACGCUGGCGGCGUGCUUAACACAUGCAAGUCGAACGGAAAGUACCUGCCUUUGUCGUGUGCUCGAGUGUCGUACGGGUGAGUAACACGUGAGUAACCUGCCCUUGACUUUGGGAUAACUUCAGGAAACUGGGCCCAAUACCCGAUAGUAGCUCCUGCUUCAUGGUGGGGGUUGGAAUGUUUCGGCGGUUGGGGAUUGACGCGUGGCUUAUCAGCUUGUUGGUGGGUUAGUGGAUUACCAAGGCAUUGGCGGGUAGCCGGCCUGAGAGGGUGGCCGGACACAUUGGGACUAAGAGACGGCCCAGACUACUACGGGAGGCAAGAGUGGGGAAUAUUGCACAAAGAGCGGAAGCCUGAUGCAGGAACGGCGGGUGCGGGAAGAAGGCAUUCGGGUUGUAAACCGCGUUCGCCUGUGACGAAGCGUAAGUGACGGUAAUGAGUAAAGAAGCACCGGCUAACUACGU